GCCCGGAUGGCGAAAUGGUAUACGCUUUCGACUUAAAAUCGAAUUCCUGUAAAGGAGUGCGGGUUCGAGUCCCGCUCCGGGCACCA
rnacentral:tRNA from 1 species